UACAGAGGGUGCGAGCGUUAAUCGGAAUUACUGGGCGUAAAGGGCGCGUAGGCGGUGUAUUAAGUUAGAUGUGAAAUCCCUGGGCUUAACCUAGGAACUGCAUUUAAUACUGGUACGCUAGAGUGCAGUAGAGGAUAGUGGAAUUUCCGGUGUAGCGGUGAAAUGCGUAGAUAUCGGAAGGAACACCAGUGGCGAAGGCGGAUAUCUGGACUGACACUGACGCUGAGGCGCGAGAGCGUGGGGAGCAAACAGG
rnacentral:rRNA from 1 species